UUAAAUUGAAGAGUUUGAUCAUGGCUCAGAUUGAACGCUGGCGGCAGGCCUAACACAUGCAAGUCGAACGGUAACAGGAAGCAGCUUGCUGCUUCGCUGACGAGUGGCGGACGGGUGAGUAAUGUCUGGGAAACUGCCUGAUGGAGGGGGAUAACUACUGGAAACGGUGGCUAAUACCGCAUAACGUCGCAAGACCAAAGAGGGGGACCUUCGGGCCUCUUGCCAUCAGAUGUGCCCAGAUGGGAUUAGCUUGUUGGUGAGGUAACGGCUCACCAAGGCGACGAUCCCUAGCUGGUCUGAGAGGAUGACCAGCCACACUGGAACUGAGACACGGUCCAGACUCCUACGGGA
rnacentral:rRNA from 1 species